rnacentral:rRNA from 1 species
CCUACGGGUGGCAGCAGUGAGGAAUAUUGGUCAAUGGACGAGAGUCUGAACCAGCCAAGUAGCGUGAAGGAUGACUGCCCUAUGGGUUGUAAACUUCUUUUAUAUGGGAAUAAAACGUUCCACGUGUGGGAUUUUGUAUGUACCAUAUGAAUAAGGAUCGGCUAACUCCGUGCCAGCAGCCGCGGUAAUACGGAGGAUCCGAGCGUUAUCCGGAUUUAUUGGGUUUAAAGGGAGCGUAGGUGGAUUGUUAAGUCAGUUGUGAAAGUUUGCGGCUCAACCGUAAAAUUGCAGUUGAAACUGGCAGUCUUGAGUACAGUAGCGGUGGGCGGAAUUCGUGGUGUAGCGGUGAAAUGCUUAGAGAUCACGAAGAACUCCGAUUGCGAAGGCAGUUCACUGGACUGCAACUGACACUGAGGCUCGAAAGUGUGGGUAUCAAACAGGAUUAGAUACCCCGGUAGUC